UUUUAGUCACUAUACACUGUGCUUCAUGAUGCUUAGAAGGUCGUUGAAGCAUCAAACAUGCUAAAAUUAAAAAAAUAUUAGAUUAGUGUUAGACGUUCUCCUACGCUUGUUUUAAAUAGGCUUCUUCACCCUCAACUGGCAGGGGCAUCGAAUGGUCUCAUCAGCAGCGGCACGAAAUAAAAUAAACCAUCUAUACAGCGAUAACACUUUGAAUCCCAAUCCAGCUUCUCCCAUAGCGUCUCAAGGUCACACACAUAUUAAUAAAUGCUAACACCCACCAAUAACAAUACACAACCGCAAUGCACAUAUGAGUAUCAACGCAUACACCGCAACAGCCAAUCAGCUGGCGGCGGAAGGCACGGGCUGAAGCGCAAGUAAGGCAGGGCAGGGUGUGGGAAGGGAGAAGAAGCGGAUGAGAAAAUGGGCGCCAAUAAUUUUAAAUUUUUUGACCGUUUUUUUUGCUCCACCGCCAUAAAUAGUUCGUCCAUUUCGCCAACAGAUGGCGCUAAACUUGCUCGACCCAGCGCAGGAAUCGCUGAAGUCCAGCGCGGGGGACGGGCCAAAAUCUGCGCUGGCCAGCGCAGAUUUUGGUACAUUUCCUGCGCUGGAAACUGCUCGAAUUUGCGCAGCGGGUUUUAUCGGACGAGAUUUAUCCCAGUCAGACAAAUCGGACUUAAUUUACCCCUAUUUUACCGCUAAAUUACCGGUAAUUUAAGAGUAAUUUAAUGGUAAAUUAGCAGUCGUUAAUUUACCCAUUCGUGCAGUUUUGACAGAUCCUAUUUCCUCCUCUACAGGUGUCCCCCGAGAUACGACUGUAUUUGGGACCGAAAAAAUGUCCCAAAGCAAGGCGUAAGUCUAAAUAGCCGUAUGUCGAAUAUCUGUGAAUAUAAAGUUUAUAACUGAUGUUGAAAAGUCGGAAUCUAUGAUAUCGUGUAUUUUAUUUAAAAUGAUGUUCGAUAAUGUAUUAAUUUUCCUCCAAAAGUCGUUUACACGAUGUAGAUAUUCAAGACCGCCCAAGUGCCACAAAUCCACUAAACGACCACUAAACGGCUUCUAAACGACUCAAGUUCUCUACCUAAACGGAAUAUAGAAAGACUUCGUUUAGCAGACGGCAAACGACUCAUGCAUUCUAAAAAUAGCAAAAAAGCUAGUGGCGCUCUCUGCUGGUGGGAUACCCCAACCAGUGGAGCUUCCGCUUGGCGGAGAGCUUUCUCAUUUCCUCUGUACUGUUGUAUGGUUUCGCAUUGAAGUUAUGCAUCGCUAGAACUAGAACGGCGAUACGAUUGUUUAAAUACUAAACUCCAACAGAAACCACCAGCACUGAAGCAAGUGAGAUUUGAGUAAUGGUCGUUGGUGUUGAUACCCACGUAUCUGACCACACGACCAUUCAUAUAGAUUUUUGCUCAGAAAGUUAGAAGGCUAUAUAGGUCAUGAUAAGAUGAAACUUGCCGAAACACAUUGCAAGAAAAGGAUAGCAAUAUAAUGAUGAGUUGUAAUACGCCAUCUAUUGAUCAAACCAAUGAAGCUGUGGAGCUUUCAUUUUUUUAUCUAUGGAUAUUCAAUUUUCCAGUCGUUUAAGCUUAAUCUGUGGCGCUUGGGAUGUGUGGUUUGUAUGUGUUUGUGUUUGUGUGUGUGCAUGUGUGUGUAUGUGUGUGUGUACAUGUGUGUGUGUGUGUGUGUGUGUGUGUGUGUGUGUGUGUGUGUGUGUGUGUGUGUGUGUGUGUGUGUGUGUGUGUGUGUGUGUGUGUGUGUGUGUGUGUGUGUGUGUGUGUGUGUGUGUGUGUGUGUGUGUGUUUGUGUGUGUGUGUGUGUGUGUGUGUGUGUGUGUGUGUGUGUGUGUGUGUGUGUGUGUGUGUGUGUGUGUGUGUGUGUGUGUGUGUGUGUGUGUGUGUGUAUUGGUGUGUGUUUGUGUCACAAGUAUGUCGUUCUGGAUAGAUUUGUUAGUAGUUUUUUUGUGUUUUGGGUUGGGUUUUUGAUGUUAUAAGCAGGACCACCGCCCUCGCGAUCAGUGUUUUUUCGAUAUAUUAACAAUUUUACGGUCUUCUUUCGCCGUGGUCUUCUGAGGACGUCCGGUUGACUUGCGCGUUUCGGUUGUCCAAGCGCGUUUCGGUUGUCCAAGCACGUUUCGGUUGUCCGAAGCGCGUUUGCCACAAAAAUGCGCGAUUGUUCCAUUACGAACUCGAUCGUUUUGCGCUUAAUGCCAGCAGCCGCCAUUCGCUUUAUGAUAUGGCGCUGAUAAUCGGUACAAUGUUUACCUCGACCCAUUGGAACAAAAAUUGCUUGCUUGGACCGUCAAGAACGCGCUGGUUAAAAAGUUGGACACGGCUGAUCCCGUGCUCUGCCUGCGUUCUGCUUCUAUACUUGAAGAAUUACAUCGUUGUAGAGCAGCGAAAAAAGCGUAUGGAUAAAAACUAUCAAUGAGUAAGCGAGUGAGUGUCUACCCAUUUAAAUCGAGAACCGAAUACUGCCGCGCUCAUGAAACAAAACGCCCAUUUAAAAGAACAACUGCGCGCCAGCUCAAUGCACGCACAAAGUUUAACAUGCGAACACAACGUUCAACGCAGAGAUGCAUGCAGGCCUUUAAAUGACGUGCACUGGAGAAACACCUGUAAGGGAAUGCCGAGUUCAUUGCUGUUGUGCGCGUUUCCAUUUCGCAGCGCUGUCGCAAUCAAAUUCAUGAAACAGCACACCUGCGUUUUCGUCCGAGGAACAAGCGCUGCUGUCGAUGCAAACUUUAGCUUUUAUCCAAGUGUGAUUGCACGCUGUUUCACAUGAUAACACACAUCAUCAGAACGCAAUACUUUCAACGCAAUAUGACAUCAUGGCAAGCUACGUUUUUCAGACACAAACCCGCGCACUCGCAAAUACACAUUAAAAAGUACAGGUGUCCCCCGAGAUACGACUGUAUUUGGGACCGAAAAAAUGUCCCAAAGCAAGGCGUAAGUCGAAAAAGUCGUAUGUCGAAUAUCUAUGAAUAUAAAGUUUAUAACCGAAAUGGAAGAGUUGGAAUAAAUGAUAUCGCGUAUUUUAUUUAAAAUAAUGUUCGAUAAUGUAAUAAUUAUUUUAAAGAAACCAUACAAAAUAAAGAUAUUCAAGAUAGGGUAGUUGUGAAAUCUUUGGAAAUGUAUGUAUAACGGUUAUCAGCCCAAAUAUUCAGAAAAAUACAUAAAUUUCUUGUCAAUGACAACUUUUAACUGUCAAAAUCAAAAUCGUCGUAUCUGCGAAUCGUCGUAACUCGAGGGGGUCGUAACUCGGGGGACGCCUGUACACUCUAUUUCUACUACCACACUCACACAGACACACACACACACACACACACACACACACACACACACACACACACACUUUGAGACAAAAAUAGGUGAGUUAGAGUCAAAAUUUAGAGGCAACGACUGUAUUGUCCGAUACUGUAGAUAAAAACAGUGAAUAUAUGAGUGGUGCGGAAUACUAUUUCACAUCUUCUAAUUUUUUUUUACAUUUUCAACACGUUUUUAUACGACUUAUGAUGAAAAAACAAAUUUCUGAUUGUGCCCAAAAAAGACACCUAAUAAAGACACUUCGAAGAACAGGUUUUAUAUGCUAACUAAAAAAAUCGUUAAAAAUCGUUCAAAAAUAUAAAUAAAACGUUCUGCAAAAGUUUUAAAGUGAUAUAUUUUUGAACGAUUUUUAAAAAGUGUUUUUAUAACCUUUUAAAGUUUUAUAAGUUUUAUAAGAGUAAUUAUCAAAAUAUAUUUUUUGAAUAUAAAAAAAAUCACAAAAACAUUUUUUUUCGCCUGUAAUGAUUGUUUUGAAAAUGCAAAUCAAAGUAUGUAACAAGUUUUUCAAAAUUAUUUUGAAAUUGCCUAAAUAUCUAAAUAUUUGCUGUUGUUACAUACAUAGUUGAGGAAUGUAAUCCUAGUCCGACAUUUUUUUCCUCCCACCACCCACGUCACCAUCGAUUUUUUCUUAUACGGACGUCACACGAAGCGUAAACUUUGGCGUAAACUGGGUUUUAGCCAUACAACCCUAUAAUCUUUUGACAGGAAGUUUACGCUCUCCCAUACAAAUCAAGCGUAAAAUUUUUGAGUUUACGCUUCGUGUGACGUCCGUAUUAGACCGCUGCAAAGGCGCCCCUAAUUUUUUUGGAGGAAUUGCAGAUGAACACGAUUUUCAAUUGCAAUGGGCCUAGAGUAUUACUCUUUGCACAUAUUCUUUCCGGAAUUACAAAUACUUAUCUAAUACAUGUAAAUACCACAUCACUAAUUCAGCCAGUCCUUAUUUAGGCUCAUAAACUACCUAACGAAUUCACGACUAAACUCUACAAUCGGAGGCUACCGGCGUCUUUGUAGCGGUCUAAGAGAACAUCGAUGGUGAAGUGGGUGGUGGGAGGAAAAAAAAUAUCAGACUAGGAUUACAUUACUUAACUUCUUCUUCUUCUUCUUCUUUGGCUCAACAACCGAUGUCGGUCAAGGCCUGCCUGUAACCACUUGUGGGCUUGGCUUUCAGUGACUAACUGAUUCCCUCCCAUAGCAGGAUAGUCAGUCCUACGUAUUGCGGCACGGUCCAUUUGGGGAUUGAACCCAUGACGGGCAUGUUGUUAAGUCGUACGAGUUGACGACUAUACUACGAGACCGGCUUAACUAUGUAUGUAACAGCAGCAAAUAUUUAGAUUCUGCUAAAAAAUCGUUGUUGAGCUUUUUGUGUCGCUUUUGUUUGAUCGAAUCAAUUUUGAACCGAUGUUUGAAAAAUUGGAAAGGUUCUCAUGGCAAUUUCAAAACAAUCAUUUCUGCCGAAUUUUUUUUGUGAAAUUUUUUUAUAUUAAAAAUAUAUUUUGAUAAUUACUCUUAUAAAACUUAUAAAACCUUAAAAAUAAGUUUAAAAACAUUUUUUUAAAAUCGUUCAAAAAUGUAUUUCUUCAAAACCGUUGUAGAAUAUGAUCUUUAUAGUUUUGAACGAUUUUUAAAUGCGUUACUUAGCACAUAAAACCUGUUGUUCGAAGUGUCUUUAUAGUCGUGGUAUGACCAUAAAUUUGUUUUUUCGUCAUAAGUCGUGCAAAAAUGUGUUAAUAAAAAUUAAAAAAAGAAGAUGUGAAAUAGUAUUCUGCACAACUCAUAAAUUCACUGUUUUUAUCUAUCUCUGGGGCCCUUCACGAUUCUAGUCAGUUUUUGCAUGGCUCCAGAUGGUCCAGAUGGUCUCAUAGCAUGUUUUUUAUAACCAAACUUGAAUAUCACUUUUGGCAGGAUUGGUGAAAAGUUUUGUUCAAACAAUUUUUUUUAGGCUUGACGAAUAUUCAAAACACUCUUAAAAUUCUCAUUCAGAAGCAGCAGCGAUAAAAAUCAGCCUUCAAAAUUCAUACAUCUUGGGAUAAGCCCACCUGUAUAUUACAGUCGUUGCCGCUAAAUUUUGACUCUAACUAACCUAUUUUUGUCUCAAAGGCACGUGUCACGAUUUUUGCCUCGAAGGUAUCAAUUUUUGACAGUGCGCAUCAAUUUUUGACUCGAAGGCAUCAGUUUUUGACUGUGAGUCAAUUGCUUUAUUUACAAAAUUUGACGCAAUUUCUGAAACUGUGUGUUCUGAAAUGGUUGAUUAAGUUAAGUAGUGAAUAAUUUUAUUGAUAGAAUUUAAAAUAAAACAAAUGUUUUGCCAAUUUUGGAUGAUUUAAUGGAGUGAAAAAUAUUUGGCAUGUAUUUUCAGCUGUAAACAAAAGCUUUAAAAUUUCUAAAAUUUCAUCAUUUUUUCGCAAGAAACAAUCAAUUUAUACAGUUUUUGUAUUUUUAAUGAGAUGUGGGAUAACAAUUGUUCAAAAUCUGCUUAAAUACCUUGUAAAAUUGUCGUGAUUCCUACAAGAGUCAAAAAUUGAUGACUUACAGACAAAAAUAGGCGCGUUAGAGUCAAAAAUUGAUGCGCACUGUCGAAAAUUGAUGCCUUACAGGCAAAAAUUGAUGCGCACUGUCAAAAAUUGAUGCCUUAGAGCCAAAAUUAGGUGGCAACGACUGUAUAAUCACUUAGAUAGCUGCUCGAAAACUGCUAUACCCCACUCGACAAACAAGUGCUCGAAAUUGCAUACAACUCCCUAAUUUUGUGUCACCGAACCCUGGGAUAUGAAAAAAUGAGGACGUUUUUGUUCGGACUGAGGGUAAAAUUAGGGGAUAUGAGAACAGGCUUUUGCGAGUGUGUGAGUGUACGCGCGCCGACCUUGAUAUACAUGUAUUGGUGAGGUACGAGGGUAUUUAUGUAUGUAGUUGUGAUAUCAAUUUUCUUUCGGCGCCAAAUGAAAUGUCACGUUUGAAUUCAAAGAAUUUAAGAGAUUGUAUUGUUCACUAGUUUCACUUCGUGUAGAGCUUCUCAUUGUUUGACAAAAAAAGCUUAACUGGUCGAUAUAGAUUUGCAUACACAAGGUAAAACAAUACUCAUAGGAAACGUUUAAAUACUCUAUGAAACUAUAUAAAACGAACUUUUUUAGAUGGAGGACAAAAACAACAACGUGCCAGUACCAACUGAUUUGGCAAAAGAAUGCAUGAUGUUACGCCGAAUGGUAGCUCAGCUAAAGGUCCAGAACGAUGUGAUGAACAACAAGCUCGAUGUUCUGACCGGGAUGAUGCAACAACUGUUGGCGAAUCAAAACACCUGCUUGAGCCCCACGGAUAAAACCCCUUCGCCAAACUUUUGCACUGUAGAGACCAUUGAGGAGAUGAAUGCUCUGGAGGAGAAGCUGAAAAAAAAGAGUACCGAGAUGAAUUUGUGGAAUGGGUGAAACUAAAUAUUGCAGAGGGCGAUUUUAAACAACGUGCUUGUGACGCUCUUCAUUUGAUCCUAGGGCCUAACAUUUUACUGCAAUGUUCGUGGACAGGAAGAGCAAAAGUAGGAGAUAAAAUACCUUUGUGUAAAUAUAAAAAUAUAGUACUAGUUAUUCAAGAAUUAGGAGGAAAUUGUUAGGAUAAGAUAUUAAAAGAUUGGAUGCAGCUUAAAUUAAAUCAUAGUGAUAAUUUAAAAGGAAACAAAUUCAUAAAUAAGUCUAGUUGCCAUAAGCCGAGAUCAAGUAGUGUGUAAAUAGUAGAAGAUAAGUAGAUUAUAGUUCUUAAAAUUAGUGGAAGCUCUGUUAUAAUCUAGAUGAACUAUUUAAUUAGAAUUGGAUUAUCAAAAAAGAAUUCAAAUGAAAUAAUACUCACUUA